rnacentral:rRNA from 1 species
GAGUUUGAUCAUGGCUCAGAUUGAACGCUGGCGGCAUGCCUUACACAUGCAAGUCGAACGGCAGCAUGAUCUAGCUUGCUAGAUUGAUGGCGAGUGGCGAACGGGUGAGUAAUACAUCGGAACGUGCCCUGUAGUGGGGGAUAACUAGUCGAAAGAUUAGCUAAUACCGCAUACGACCUGAGGGUGAAAGUGGGGGACCGCAAGGCCUCAUGCUAUAGGAGCGGCCGAUGUCUGAUUAGCUAGUUGGUGGGGUAAAGGCCCACCAAGGCGACGAUCAGUAGCUGGUCUGAGAGGACGAUCAGCCACACUGGGACUGAGACACGGCCCAGACUCCUACGGGAGGCAGCAGUGGGGAAUUUUGGACAAUGGGGGCAACCCUGAUCCAGCAAUGCCGCGUGUGUGAAGAAGGCCUCGG